CCUACGGGAGGCAGCAGUGAGGAAUAUUGGUCAAUGAGCGAGAGCCUGAACCAGCCAAGUCGCGUGAAGGAUGAAGGAUCUAUGGUUUGUAAACUUCUUUUAUAUGGGAAUAAAGUGAGGAACGUGUUCCUUUUUGUAUGUACCAUAUGAAUAAGCAUCGGCUAACUCCGUGCCAGCAGCCGCGGUAAUACGGAGGAUGCGAGCGUUAUCCGGAUUUAUUGGGUUUAAAGGGUGCGUAGGUGGUUAAUUAAGUCAGCGGUGAAAGUUUGUGGCUCAACCAUAAAAUUGCCGUUGAAACUGGUUGACUUUGGUAUAUUUGAGGUAGGGGGAAUGCGUGGUGUAGGGGUGAAAUUCAUAAAUAUCACGCAGAACUCCGAAUGGGAAGGGAGCUUACUAAACUAUAACCGACACUGGAGGACGAAAGCGUGGGGAUCAAACAGGAUUAGAAAACCCAGUAGUC
rnacentral:rRNA from 1 species